CGGGUGCACUGAUCCGGCCGGGCCUUUCCCUCUGUGGAACCCCAUGGCCUUCACUGGCUGUGCGGGGGAAACAGGACUUUUACUGUGAAAAAAUUAGAGUGCUCCAGGCAGGCCUAUGCUCGAAUACAUUAGCAUGGAAUAAUAGAAUAGGACGCGUGGUUCUAUUUUGUUGGUUUCUAGGACCGCCGUAAUGAUUAAUAGGGACAGUCGGGGGCAUCAGUAUUCAAUUGUCAGAGGUGAAAUUCUUGGAUCUAUUGAAGACUAACUACUGCGAAAGCAUUUGCCAAGGAUGUUUUCAUUGAUAAGGAACGAAAGUUAGGGGAUCGAAGACGAUCAGAUACCGUCGUAGUCUUAACUAUAAACUAUGCCGACUAGGGAUCAGACGAUGUUAUUUCUUGACGCGUUCGGCACCUUUCGAGAAAUCAAAGUGCUUGGGCUCCAGGGGGAGUAUGGUCGCAAGGCUGAAACUUAAAGAAAUUGACGGAAGGGCACCACCAGGGGUGGAACCUGCGGCUUAAUUUGACUCAACACGGGGAAACUCACCAGGUCCAGACACAGUGAGGAUUGACAGAUUGAGAGCUCUUUCUUGAUUCUGUGGGUGGUGGUGCAUGGCCGUUCUUAGUUGGUGGAGUGAUUUGUCUGCUUAAUUGCGAUAACGAACGAGACCUUAACCUGCUAAAUAGCCCGUACUGCUCUGGCAGUUCGCCGGCUUCUUAGAGGGACUAUCGG
rnacentral:rRNA from 1 species